GGCCUUGUGGGGCAGUGGACAGCCCGCCUGUCGAGCAGGAGCCAGGCGCUGCGAAAGGGUCGCGCCCUUAGCAUCCUGGGCAGAUCUAGAGCUGCGCGCCGGUUCGAAUCCGGCCAAGGCCC
rnacentral:tRNA from 1 species